GACGAACGCUGGCGGCGUGCUUAACACAUGCAAGUCGAACGGAAAGGCCCUGCUUGCAGGGUACUCGAGUGGCGAACGGGUGAGGAACACGUGGGUGAUCUGCCCUGCACUUCGGGAUAAGCUUGGGAAACUGGGUCUAAUACCGGAUAGGAACCAUCUUUAGUGUGGUGGUUGGAAAGUUUUUUCGGUGUAGGAUGAGCUCGCGGCCUAUCAGCUUGUUGGUGGGGUAAUGGCCUACCAAGGCGGCGACGGGUAGCCGGCCUGAGAGGGUGUACGGCCACAUUGGGACUGAGAUACGGCCCAGACUCCUACGGGAGGCAGCAGUGGGGAAUAUUGCACAAUGGGCGCAAGCCUGAUGCAGCGACGCCGCGUGGGGGAUGAAGGCCUUCGGGUUGUAAACUCCUUUCGCUAGGGACGAAGCUUUUUGUGACGGUACCUAGAUAAGAAGCACCGGCUAACUACGUG
rnacentral:rRNA from 1 species